rnacentral:tRNA from 1 species
GUUAGCGUAGCACAGCCCGGCUAUGCAAAAGGUCUAAGCCCUUCCCACAGAGGUUCAAAUCCCCUCACUAACU